rnacentral:lncRNA from 1 species
AUGGGGGCUCUCGUGUACCAGGUGCUUAGGAAGAGCUUCAACGAGUUCGAGCUAGGAGGCGAUGCUCGCAACCAUCACGGUCGCAUGCGUGUUGAGGAUCUAGCAGUGGCGCUCCGAAUCAAGGAUGGCAACAAGAAGGAAUGGUGUCCUUCCACCUCUAAGGAAGAUAGCCAUAUCAUCUUUGUGCUUGCCUUGUCUCUUUUCCCUUGUCCUCAUGGCUCUUAUCGGCAUGAGGGCCUAGUAUCCAUGAAACAUGCUUGAUACCCACAAU